CCUGAAAGAUGAUCAGGUAGAUAGGUUUGGAGUGGAAGUGUAGCGAUACAUGGAGCGGACAAAUACUAAUCGAUCGAGGACUUAACCAA
rnacentral:rRNA from 1 species